UACAGAGGUCUCAAGCGUUGUUCGGAUUCAUUGGGCGUAAAGGGUGCGUAGGCGGCGCGGUAAGUCGGGUGUGAAAUCUUGGGACUUAACUCCGAAACUGCAUUCGAUACUGCCGUGCUUGAGGACUGGAGAGGAGACUGGAAUUUACGGUGUAGCGGUGAAAUGCGUAGAUAUCGUAAGGAAGACCAGUGGCGAAGGCGGGUCUCUGGACAGUUCCUGACGCUGAGGCACGAAGGCCAGGGGAGCAAACGGGG
rnacentral:rRNA from 1 species